rnacentral:rRNA from 1 species
GACGAACGCUGGCGGCGUGCCUAAUACAUGCAAGUCGAACGCAGUGGGGACGGGUGAGUAACACGUGGGUAACCUCCCAUCAGAGGGGAUAACACUUGGAAACAGGUGCUAAACCGAUAUUGACGGAUGGACCCGCGGUGCAUUAGCUAGUUGGUGGGGUAACGGCUCACCAAGGCCACGAUGCAUAGGCGGCCUGGGAGGUGGAUCAGCCACACUGGGACUGAGACACGGUCCAGACUCCUACGGGAGGGAGCAGUAGGGAAUCUUCGGCAAUGGACGAAAGUCUGACGGAGCAACGCCGCGUGAGUGAAGAAGGUUUUCGGAUCGUAAAACUCUUUUGUUAGAGAAGCGGUAGCUAACCAGAAAGCAACGGCUAACUACGUGCCAGCAGCCGCGGUAAUUC